rnacentral:rRNA from 1 species
AGAGUUUGAUCCUGGCUCAGGAUGAACGCUAGCGGCAGGCCUAAUACAUGCAAGUCGAACGAUACUUAGGAGCUUGCUCUUAAGAAAAGUGGCGCACGGGUGCGUAACGCGUAUGCAACCUACCUUAAUCAGGGGGAUAGCCCGAAGAAAUUCGGAUUAACACCGCAUAAAAUCACAGCACAGCAUUGUGUAAUGAUCAAAUAUUUAUAGGAUUAAGAUGGGCAUGCGUGUCAUUAGCUAGUUGGCGGGGUAACGGCCCACCAAGGCGACGAUGACUAGGGGAUCUGAGAGGAUGGCCCCCCACACUGGUACUGAGACACGGACCAGACUCCUACGGGAGGCAGCAGUAAGGAAUAUUGGUCAAUGGAGGCAACUCUGAACCAGCCAUGCCGCGUGCAGGAAGACAGCCCUCUGGGUCGUAAACUGCUUUUAUUCGGGAAUAAACCUAGAUACGUGUAUUUAGCUGAAUGUACCGAAGGAAUAAGGAUCGGCUAACUCCGUGCCAGCAGCCGCGGUAAU